GACGAACGCUGGCGGCGUGCUUAACGCAUGCAAGUCGAACGAAGAGCGAUGGAAGCUUGCUUCUAUCAAUCUUAGUGGCGCACGGGUGAGUAACGCGUAAUCAACCUGCCCUUCAGAGGGGGACAACAGUUGGAAACGACUGCUAAUACCGCAUACGAUCUAAUCUCGGCAUCGAGGAUAGAUGAAAGGUGGCCUCUACAUGUAAGCUAUCACUGAAGGAGGGGAUUGCGUCUGAUUAGCUAGUUGGAGGGGUAACGGCCCACCAAGGCGAUGAUCAGUAGCCGGUCUGAGAGGAUGAACGGCCACAUUGGGACGGAGACACGGCCCAGACUCCUACGGGAGGCAGCAGUGGGGAAUCUUCCGCAAUGGACGAAAGUCUGACGGAGCAACGCCGCGUGAGCGAUGACGGCCUUCGGGUUGUAAAGCUCUGUUAAUCGGGACGAAAGGCCUUCUUGCGAAUAGUGAGAAGGAUUGACGGUACCGGAAGAGAAAGCCACGGCUAACUACGUG
rnacentral:rRNA from 1 species